rnacentral:sRNA from 1 species
UAUCUCUCCGUACGGGGAAGGAUGAGAAGCUUCGACUAAGGUUCGAUUCGAGCGCAGCGAGAAAGCGUUGCCGUAGGCAACGACCCGAAGGGCGCAGCGAGAAAGCGUUGCCGCAGGCAACGACCCGAAGGGCGAAGCGCGCAGCGCUGAGUCAUCCUUCCCCCACCACCA